rnacentral:rRNA from 1 species
AUUCCAGCUCCAAUAGCGUAUAUUAAAGUUGUUGCGGUUAAAAAGCUCGUAGUUGGAUUUCUGCCGAGGAUGACCGGUCCGCCCUGUGGGUGUGCAUCUGGCUCAGCCUUGGCAUCUUCCUGAAGAACGUAGCUGCACUUGACUGUGUGGUGCGGUAUUUAGGACAUUUACUUUGAGGAAAUUAGAGUGUUUCAAGCAAGCGCACGCUUUGAAUACAUUAGCAUGGAAUAAUAAGAUAGGACUUUGGUGGUCUAUUUUGUUGGUUUGCACACCAAGGUAAUGAUUAAUAGGGAUAGUUGGGGGUAUCCGUAUUUCGUAGUCAGAGGUGAAAUUCUUGGAUCUACGAAAGACGGACUACUGCGAAAGCAUUUACCAAGGAUGUUUUCAUUG